rnacentral:rRNA from 1 species
UGGGGAAUUUUGGACAAUGGGCGCAAGCCUGAUCCAGCCAUGCCGCGUGCGGGAAGAAGGCCUUCGGGUUGUAAACCGCUUUUGUCAGGGAAGAAAUCUUCUGAGUUAAUACCUCGGGAGGAUGACGGUACCUGAAGAAUAAGCACCGGCUAACUACGUGCCAGCAGCCGCGGUAAUACGUAGGGUGCAAGCGUUAAUCGGAAUUACUGGGCGUAAAGCGUGCGCAGGCGGUUUUGUAAGACAGAGGUGAAAUCCCCGGGCUCAACCUGGGGACUGCCUUUGUGACUGCAAGGCUUGAGUGCGGCAGAGGGGGGAUGGAAUUCCGCGUGUAGCAGUGAAAUGCGUAGAUAUGCGGAGGAACACCGAUGGCGAAGGCAAUCCCCUGGGCCUGCACUGACGCUCAUGCACGAAAGCGUGGGGAGCAAACAGGAUUAGAUACCCUGGUAGUCCACGCCCUAAACGAUGUCAACUGGUUGUUGGGAAGGUUCCUUCUCAGUAACGUAGCUAACGCNUGAAGUUGACCGCCUGGGGAGUACGGCCGCAAGGUUGAAACUUAAAUGAAUUGACGGGGU